rnacentral:rRNA from 1 species
UACGUAGGGAGCAAGCGUUAUCCGGAUUUAUUGGGUGUAAAGGGUGCGUAGACGGGAAGGCAAGUUAGUUGUGAAAUCCCUCGGCUUAACUGAGGAACUGCAACUAAAACUAUCUUUCUUGAGUGCUGGAGAGGAAAGUGGAAUUCCUAGUGUAGCGGUGAAAUGCGUAGAUAUUAGGAAGAACACCAGUGGCGAAGGCGGAUGACUGGACGACAACUGACGGUGAGGCGCGAAAGCGUGGGGAGCAAACAGG